UUGCUGUGGCGCUAUAUGGUAUAGGUCAGUCUGUGAAGGUACCAGCUUGGCUGGCCUCAGUCCCGUCUUUCCUGGUAUAGGUCAGUCUGUGAAGGUACCAGCUUGGUCAGCCUCAGUCCCAUCUUUCCUGGUAUAGGUCAGUGUGUGAAGGUACCAGCUUGGUCAGCCUCAGUCCCAUCUUUCCUGGUAUAGGUCAGUGUGUGAAGGUACCAGCUUGGUCAGCCUCAGUCCCAUCUUUCCUGGUAUAGGUCAGUCUGUGAAGGUACCAGCUUGGUCAGCCUCAGUCCCAUCUUUCCUGGUAUAGGUCAGUCUGUGAAGGUACCAGCUUGGUCAGCCUCAGUCCCAUCUUUCCUGGUAUAGGUCAGUCUGUGAAGGUACCAGCUUGGUCAGCCUCAGU